CCUGAUCCUGACAGCCACAAUAUUGUUGGUUUUAUUUAUUGAAUUAUUCAUUUAAAAGGGGGGAGGGGCUAGUUGGAGGAUAUAAUUUUCUUUUUUUAUAUAUAUUUGACUAAAUCAAGAAAAAUCAUACUUCCUCUAAGAAAGAAGGCCUGUUAGAGAAGAACUUUUAAUAGGGCCCUGAAAAUUAAGUCAUAGCAGAGCUGUUAUCCACAGCAAAUACAACUUUACUUUCAGUAACUUGACCUGGGUCACUAUAAAGAUUGCUCGUAUUAGGCGUUCAAAGUAGCAAGGCCCUGAGGCCUUCAGUAGUAAGUGUUCCUCUGAGUGUGCUAUUUAGACGUAGUCAAAGACUGUGCUGUGUGAACUUGCCAUUUUACUACAACCUUGAACUCCUUAACACUGUAACUAAUCUAUUCAAGGCUUUGCAUGAGUAGUUAGACCUCAUUCAAAGGUCUCAUUCCCAGCUGUGCAGAGUCCUUGCACCUCUGACUUCUGCGGCAACAUGUAUGCACGAUGAAAGGUGUGAAGCACCUUGUGCCUUCUAAGUUUGAAAUGUGAGCCAACUGAGCUUUCAGAUGAAGUCGCUAUAGUUAGAGUGCUUGUAGUUUACUGAAGGUCACUUGAGGAGGUGUUGAGUAUUCGUCCCUGCCUCCAUAUGUCCUUCUCUUGUCUUGCCUGUCUCCUUGCCUUCAUUUAUGAAAAGAAGGAGUUAGUGGUUGGUGCCCACACUCAGACACUCAGAUAUAGAGAUCUUCCAUUGAUUAAAAAAGAUCCUGCUGGAGACGAAAAUGGCUUAAAACAAAAACUGGCGAAAAGGUCCUCCUUAGAAUUGGUCACAAGAUGGAUUGGACUGAAACAAAGGCUUAAAAAGAGGAUCCUGUUUGGGAAGCCCUUUCUGCAGAUCCUGAUGCCUUCCAGCACGCCGUUACAGCGCAGCUGGUGCAUCACCAGAGGGUUCUCCAUGGCCCCAGGAGUCUUGGUCUCAUUGGGGAUGAUGCAGCGCACAAAGUGA
rnacentral:lncRNA from 1 species